UUUGGCACUGUUGGUCAUGUUUGUGGUUUUCUGGAUUAGGAGAAGAUAUUUUUGCCUGGGUAGCAAGGCGGAGCUACUACGUAUGAUUCCAUUGAAAGAUUCUCGCAUUGGAGCUUUGAAAAAUGCAGCUCUGAAGCCUAUCCAAGCAGACGACAAUGUGUACAUUGUAGAUGACUAUCACUAAGCCCUGGAUCCAGAAUCUAAGGUUUUAUGGUCUUGACUGUAGAAGACAGUGACAAAAUACCGUGUCAGAGUCCUCUGAAUCAGCUGCUGAAUUUUUCAGUCAGUUUCCCAUGGCAUUCCUAUGAGUCAGGGACACUGGUAGAGUCAUGCUAGGUCGACUGUGAAAAGUCAACCUCUGUCACAGAGUCCUAAUUUUUUAUACUAAAUUGGCUCAAACUUGCUGAUCAUUGCAGAGGUCUCUUCAAAACAUGAAACAUAAUUCU